rnacentral:rRNA from 1 species
GACGAACGCUGGCGGCGUGCUUAACACAUGCAAGUUGAACGGAAAGGCCCUGCUUUUGUGGGGUGCUCGAGUGGCGAACGGGUGAGUAACACGUGAGUAACCUGCCCUUGACUUUGGGAUAACUUCAGGAAACUGGGGCUAAUACCGGAUAGGAGCUCCUGCUGCAUGGUGGGGGUUGGAGAGUUUCGGCGGUUGGGGAUGGACUCGCGGCUUAUCAGCUUGUUGGUGGGGUAGUGGCUUACCAAGGCUUUGACGGGUAGCCGGCCUGAGAGGGUGACCGGCCACAUUGGGACUGAGAUACGGCCCAGACUCCUACGGGAGGCAGCAGUGGGGAAUAUUGCACAAUGGGCGGAAGCCUGAUGCAGCAACGCCGCGUGCGGGAUGACGGCCUUCGGGUUGUAAACCGCUUUCGCCUGUGACGAAGCGUGAGUGACGGUAAUGGGUAAAGAAGCACCGGCUAACUACGUG